rnacentral:lncRNA from 1 species
GGUUGUAUCUCGCUGGGCAAGCUUUUGUAUACCGGAUGUUGUAUGUAUAGUGAACUUGGAUUUUAUUUUUUUCUUUCUGGUUAUAGUUUUCUUGCAGCUCUAUACUACUGGUUGUAGUAUUGUAUGUUUACAGGUACAGCUAUCGCUUCGUAUACAGGAAAAAUUUCUUUGUAUACGGCGGAUUUGUCGGCGUGCCCGGAGAUCGUGUAAUCCGGGGCGUGACAAGUAUCCUUUGGUUUCAAGUGUAUCAAGUUAGUACCCUGUGAUUUUAUUUUUGUAUCAAGUUAGUACCAUGUGAUUUUAAUUUUCUCUUUUUAUUAUCCAUUUUGGGGUAUAUAAUUUAACAAAAUAUUAAACCAUAUGGUACUAAAGUGAGAAAGUGCAAAAUAAAGCUGUCCAAAAUAUCCGAUAUACCAUACCCAAUCCAGACCCUAUCCGGAUCCUAUCCGGACCCAAACUUGACCCGAUAAAAAAGGACAAUAUAUGGGUUAAAAAAACUACCCAUU